UUUGUAGUUCUCCUUUUGCCUGUUUGAGAAGGCCUACUCCUAUCACAGGAAAAACUUAACAAGCUCUUGCUUCAGGAAGUGGAAGAUGUUUACUGUGCAGAGCAAGAGAGAUACCAUAGAGCUGGCUCUGAAGAUGGACAUGACAAAAAAGCACUUUGAGACCAAAUGCCAACGGGUUGCACUUGCCAAAUGGUUGAAUUGGGUAAAAUUACACAGGAAGACACAGUCUGGUAAGUAACCACAUAAGUAUUUCUGAGUAAAAUAGUAAUCAUGAGUGUUUACCUUAACCAAAAAGUAGAAACUGGUUCUGUAAGCUGUAACCCUCCCAUGUAUGUAGCCAGAGAAAACAUGCACUGUGGUUUAGAAAUGUAUUCAAACCAUGUCUUUCCUGACAUUCAUUUCUUCCCCACACCCACUACUGUGACUCAUUUUGUCCCUUGUACCUUUCAAUACUGAACUCUAAGAUUUUAUGUUUAAAAGCUAAACAUCCAGUAUCCAAUGUGAUCAUAAUAUUAAUUAAUAUUAAAUUAUUGACAAAUAUUGGCCUACAUUUUACCCUCUAUCUCUAAAACGAUGCAAUAAUGUAAGUACUGUGUUUAAAGAUGUGAAUUUGUUUCAACUCAGCUGCCAUCAAGAAACUUGAGAGACUUAUAAAUGGUGAACGCCUUAAGCGCAUGAUGGCUGCAUGGCAUAAUGUUGCACAGGACUCAAAGAGGACAAAAGAUUACUUUAAGAAGUUGGAAAUGGGUUUGAUGGAAAAUGGCGAUGAAGACCAUCAGACUGGAGAAGGAUGUGACCGACUCUCAGCACUGCCUAGCAGCCUCUCCCUGAAGGUAAUUCUUAAGAAACUUUACAGUUUUAUAUAUAUAUAUAUAUAUAUAUAUAUAUAUAUAUAUAUAUAUAUAUAUAUAUAUACU
rnacentral:lncRNA from 1 species